AUCUACGAGGAGACCCGCGGCGUGCUCAAGAUCUUCCUGGAGAACGUCAUCCGCGACGCCGUCACCUACACCGAGCACGCCCGCCGCAAGACCGUCACCGCCAUGGACGUCGUCUACGCGCUCAAGCGCCAGGGCCGCACCCUCUACGGAUUCGGCGGCUAGGCCACGCCGGUCCAGCAGAACCCACCUCGCGCCGCCAGAUUCACUAGCUAGCCAUGGUUGUUCAGUGUUCAUUGUCUUCGGUGUAAUGGAACGGCCGCAUCUCGCUGCUGUCUGUUGUUCAGUGUACUGUGUUUGGAUGUACUAGGAUGGAAUGGAAAUCGCGGCGUUUUACCCCUGAAUUCGUCUGCAGUCUCUUGCUCUGUUGUUAAAUCUUAUCAGUCGUUCCCCAUUUCCAAGUAUCUGUCGCUGUAAUUUUCUGUCCCCAAAUCGAUGGUGUUGGCUUC
rnacentral:lncRNA from 1 species